CCCUUAGAUGUUCUGGGCCGCAUGCGCGCUACACUGACGAAUGCAACGAGCUUAUAACCUUGGCCGAAAGGUCUGGGUAAUCUCCAAAUUUCGUCGUGAUGGGGAUAGAUUAUUGCAAUUAUUAAUCUUCAACGAGGAAUGCCUAGUAAGCGCAAGUCAUCAGCUUGCGUUGAUUACGUCCCUGCCCUUUGUACACACCGCCCGUCGCUCCUACCGAUUGAAUGGUCCGGUGAAGCGUUCGGACCGUGGCCUUUGGACGGUUCGCCGUCUGUUGGCUGCGGGAAGUUCGUUAAACCUUAUCAUUUAGAGGAAGGAGAAGUCGUAACA
rnacentral:rRNA from 1 species